GUAUGUGAUCCACGUCCGCGGGAAAUAAUGGGGAUGAUAAUAAAACGGAGGGAGAACCCGUGCGAGGGAAGCUGAAUGGAUGGAGCCACAGACACGUCACCAGCAGCCGCAGCCAUGAAGAGCGUGCGCUCCAGCCUCCAGCUGCUCAGUCGCUCUCCAUCUCCAGAGCCGCGCGCUUCUCGGCGCUGAGGAGCGGACACACGCGCACCGGCGACUGCGUCAGAACCCAUGUUGCUGCGCCUGCAGCUCGAGAGGAUGGGUAGCCUUAGGGGUUGGCUGUUAUCUUUGGUUAUCUAGCUGUAUGAGUGAUGUACAUUCUUCAUAAAGCUAGAUAACCGAAAGUAACAAGAAUCCCAUUACACUCCUGAAAAAGGCAUCAAGACCCCAUAUACACCUCCCUCAAAAAAAAAUUAUAAAAAAAUACACAAACUGCCACAGGAACAGCAACACGUGAAGAAAAUGGACGACAGUGACAAGGACACGGCAGCAGGAGGUUGCAGCAGGAGGCGACGACCACAAGACCCCUGAAGGAGAGCUGGCAAAAGGAGACUGAAAAACAGAGAAGAAGGAGGAGGAGGGGUUGCUGUUGAUUCUGCCCUCCCUCUCUCCUCGCCCUCCUCUGCAUCGCCUCCUCCCUCCUCCUCCCCCCUUCUUCCUCCUCUGCUCCAUCCUCAGCAGACUGCCCUUUUUUCCUGUACAGCAAGACGCAGCCUGCGCCACCAUCUUAGAGCAACGCUGGCAUGAAAUGGAAGUGGGAAGACCGGCCAGUGCAGGUGAGUGCUGUCGGUGCAGGACGACCGCAGACAGACAGCGGAGGGGCAGCGGGAUUCCUCCUUCAGCCGCCGGUUUCAGCCCGGAGUAAAUACGUGUCCGCGCACGACUCGGCGCAGAUUCCUUGCCGUGACUUUGGAACAUUUCCGCGGCGACACGUCUGUGAUGCUGCUGUGUGAUGCAUUAUUUGACCCAAUAGUCGAGCUGGACUGAUGUUUGUGAGCGUAAACAUGGCGCUGGACUGUGAGGGAGGGAACGAGGUGCAGAGAGAAGAUCGGCGAAGAUGGACGACCUGGUCCACAGCUGUGACUCUUCUGCUUUGGAGGGUGUGGCACUGAAUUUUGUAAUUUCUAUUUUCCUUCAUACACUCAUGCAUUAUUUCACAUGUAAGACGUGAAAUAAUGCAUCUCCACUUACUGCAGGUCACAGUCGACGAGCUGCAGCCCGCGUUGUGUUCGAUUUGUUUUAGUUGCUAGGACUCAAAGACACGUGAAUGUGAGACCCACGGCAGCAGUGAAUAAUACUGCACUGCGAUUGGACAGCUCCGUGUGUCGGCCGACACAAUGGUGAAGGAGUGAGCUGUCGUCUUUAUACUCUAUGCAACUGUUUUAUCCUUUUUGUUCUUUUUUCAUCCUGAAUUCCUGUUUUAUCCUCACUGUUUAGUUGUCGUUGUUUUUGGGCUGUAGUUUGUAGAUGUUCCUUCAGACGUCAGCAGCAGAGAUGGAUUUUGAGGAGCCUACAUUCCCGGAGUUAAUAUACUGACGAGACAGUGAGAGCGUGAGCGUCAGUGUGUGACAGAUGACAGAACGUAGCUCACUUUCAUCACUGCAUGUAUUGAAUCUCAUAUUUGCAGCCUUAACAGACUCGGCAGCUAUAAGCCACAGUCUGAGUGAACGUGGACUCACACAUUUAAUAUUCCUGAUGGCAGGAGUGUAUUUGAUCAGCAGGGAGUAGCUGAGCAGAGCUCGUGGCUCUGUGUGUACAGAACACGCCACACUAUUAAAACCUUCCCAGCAGGCUUUGAGACGCAGCAGCUUGGUUCAUAGCAGUUACCUGCGUCGCUGUAAUGAUACAUCUUUGGGUGAGACACGACAAAUACAUCGGCUUCACACACUGCCUUAAUUUACUGUCCUUAACAUUAACACACACACACACACACACACACACACACACACACACACACACACACACACACACACACACACACACACACACACACACACACACACACACACACCCCAAUGCAAUAAAGCAAGUGCUAUCGCAGCCUAAUUCAUUCUAUAUUAAUUUUCAGGAAGUGGCAAAUUUUUUAUUACGAUUGAUAAUCUAUGCAAAUCUUUUAAAUAUUACUUUAAACAAUCUAUGUCUAUGCAGUGCUUUUGCAAUUGAUUCAAGGGAGACUAUCUUAGUCUAAUUUAGAAAAUGUAUUCUUCUGAUAAUCAUGCACAUCCCAGUGCUCAAGACAAUUACUUAUCUGCCUGGAUAAGCUUGAAAUUAUGUUUUUAAUCUGUAGAAAAAAUAAAAGAGUCACUUGUCUGAUAUCAGUCGAGUGGCAUGAACAUCAUGAAUUGUCGUCUACAAUAAUUAAAUCGGUUGCACUAAAUCUCUUUUUUCUUUAGCUGCAGAUCAGACACACUGUUUGUAUUCAGCCGUGCUCUGUGUGCCGCAGCCUGUUGUUUUCAAUAAGCAGCAAUGUUUGUGUCAUGCAGUCGAAUCGCUGUGGAAAAGUAUUCACCACAUGUGCCUUUCUAUGGAAAACUGUGUUGGAAUAGUAAUAAAGGUUUACAUUGAAAACAGAGGAAAA